GAGUUCCUUAACCUGAUGGCUCGCAAGAUGAAGGACACUGAUUCUGAGGAGGAGCUCAAGGAAGCUUUCAGAGUGUUUGACAAGGAUCAGAAUGGAUUCAUCUCCGCAGCUGAGCUUCGUCAUGUGAUGACAAACCUAGGCGAAAAGCUUACUGAUGAAGAGGUUGAUGAGAUGAUUCGUGAAGCUGAUGUGGAUGGUGAUGGGCAGAUCAACUACGACGAGUUCGUCAAGGUUAUGAUGGCCAAGUGAGAACUGAUCAAUCCAACAUAAUCUUUAGAAGUAAAAACACAAAAGAGAAGGAAACAGAGCAGAUAAGUUUGUGAGAUUUCUAUUCCAAAUUAGGACACGUUCUUUCUGUUAUUACCUUUGUCUCGAUGGUUCUGUAGUUCUGCUCUCCCGUAUAUCCUGUUUGCCCUGUUCCUUGUCUUCGUAGUUUGGGUUGUUAGCAACUUCUAGUAAUUUCUCCUGAAUUCGGUAUUGUGAAACUAUGAUGUGUCAAACUCUUUU
rnacentral:misc_RNA from 1 species